CUAGGGUACAAAUUGAAUUUCAUCAUGUGUUAGCCAAUGAUAUAGUAAUAGAAUAGGGAUAUUUUUUUUUUGCCUUGAGGCUUUGUUAUCUGCUUCUUUGUGUAUUCUAAAGAGCCGGAGUUCUUAAAAACAGCACUGCAAGCGUUCAGCUAAAAAAUGCCCUUUUGUAGCCUUUUCAGAUUAUAGCCCUUCUAUACAAUGUAUUCAGUCAACUUUCUUCCUGUUUCCCUAUCAGUUAAAUUUAGGACUAUUGUCUUGGUCUAUUAAUGUGAUAGAAUAUCUAGGAAAGUCAAUGACUAUUUACAAAACUGGCACCUACCAUGUCUGCGAAACUCUCAGCCAAACCGGUGCAGCCAUCUGAAAACAGCCAGCCCCCCUGUUUGCCUGACACUUCGUGCCAAAUUCAGACUCCGUGUUCUCACAGCAGAGGCCACCCUUGUUUAUGGGAUGCCUGAUGUCCUUCCAGAUGCUCAGUAUCUAGAGAAGGAGGAAUGAAGGAACAACUGUCUCCAGGGACUUCUGUUGAAGGCUUUGUGCCUGCUAUGUGUGCUGGUUUCAGCAGUGAGCCAGGUGAGGAGGCCAAGCUUGUAGAGAAAAAUUUAAAAGCGAAUGCGUUUUCUGGGUAGUAGCAUAAACCUUAGAGCUGGCUCCCAGUUUCUUCACCAGACGCUUCAAUGCCUAGUGAAGGUGGGAUUUAUGCAAACUAUUCUAGUUUUGGCAGUGGCUUCAGGGGGAUAAACGUUAUUCCAGCACAUAGCUGGUUUGAAACUUUCACCUUAAAUAACCAAAUAUAAAUUAGAUGUCCAGGACAUUACCUGCCACACUCAACAUCAGUUGCAAGCGGAUCAGAUUUAAGUUGAAAUGAGGAAAUAGUAAUCUGGAACACUGCUUGCUUUCAAAGCAAGCUUCAGUGCCAGGCCCUGCCUCAACCUCCAUUGCCAGGCCAGGAGUGGUAAUGCAAUAUCAUUUAGGUCUCUGGGCUACAGAAUAAAAGCUUCUCCAUGUGUUAGACUUCUACUGUU
rnacentral:lncRNA from 1 species